GGGCUGCUCACUGGCAGGCAUAAGAGUAUGCUCUUAGGCUGUGGCUUUUCUGUCUUGUUUUAGAGCGCAGAUCAAGCACUGAGGUUUGAGCCAUGUGCCUCAGCCCUGUCGCCGGGUGAAGGACCAAUAACAGAAAUGAUCAUUGUUGAGGCUCACUGUCUGCUGGGCACUGGGUCCAGCACGUAGAUGUUUUAGCGGAAGAAACCCAAAAGCUGAGUGACAUGGUAGGCGUUUACUACAGGGAAGCGGUCAGCUUCUCAGAGCCCCCUGGAGGUCUCCGUACACUCCAGCAGGGUGAGCUGGGAGAUGGAAAAUCUCACUUCCGGACAGGGCAAACAUCCCAGGAAAUCAGGACUAGGAGGAAAUGGACACCAUAAUUGUGCCAUGCCCCCUCAACAGUGCUUUGCGU
rnacentral:lncRNA from 1 species